CAGCCGCGUAAUUCCAGCUCCAAUAGCGUAUAUUAAAGUUGUUGCAGUUAAAAAGCUCGUAGUUGAAUUUCGAGAUCAAAUUGUUGGUCGUGCCUUGGUACGCACUGGCAUUAUUGGUUUCUCCCUUCUGAAGAACCAUGAUGUCAUUAAUUUGGUGUCUUGGGGAAUCAGGACUGUUACUUUGAAAAAAUUAGAGUGUUUAAAGCAGGCUCGCGCUUGAAUACAUUAGCAUGGAAUAAUGAAAUAGGACGUUUGAUUCUAUUUUGUUGGUUUCUAGGAUCGACGUAAUGAUUAAUAGGGAUAGUUGGGGGCAUUAGUAUUCAAUUGUCAGAGGUGAAAUUCUUGGAUUUAUUGAAGACUAACUACUGCGAAAGCAUUUGCCAAGGAUGUUUUCAUUAAUCAAGAACGAAAGUUAGGGGAUCGAAGACGAUCAGAUACCGUCGUAGUCUUAACCAUAAACUAUGCCGACUAGGGAUCGGAUGAUGUUAAUUUUUUAAUGACUCAUUCGGCGCCUUACG
rnacentral:misc_RNA from 1 species